UGAGACACAGGUCCGUCUCUGGCUGCUCCAUCCUGAUCUCGUCUGCUCUCAGAAGCUAAGCAGGGUUGGGCCGGGUUAGUGCUUGGAUGGGUAAAAGGAGCUAAAGUAGGACCAGGCCACGUCUAAA
rnacentral:rRNA from 1 species